UUGACCUCAAAUCGGGUGAGACUACCCGCUGAACUUAAGCAUAUCAAUAAGCGGAGGAAAAGAAACUAAC
rnacentral:rRNA from 1 species